rnacentral:autocatalytically_spliced_intron from 2 species
GUUUUUAUCUUUUCGUCUAUGAAAUAGAUGAUAGAACCAAUCGCAUCACGGCGGUCGCAAUAAGUAAUUAUUGCGAACACUGCUGACUUUUCGGUAAAACCCCAUGCUGGGCAAUACCGAGGGAUUGUCAAUCCUGUAGAGGCCAUACGUCAGCCCUCCUUAAAAGGAAGAAGAGAUGGUCCAAUGCGCACAGUAAUGUGCGG